UAUAUAUAUAUAUAUAUAUAUAUAUAUAUAUAUAUAUAUAUAUAUACAAAUAACGGUGUCUCAUUGAAAGUCGAACACUUUAAUAGUUUCCGCUUGUCAAGUCCGAGUGACAUGACAUAGAUGUAGAUACUCGUUUUACAGUUAGAUCAAAUAUUUUUCAUUAUCAAUCGAUUACCAGGGGACAUAGGAAUAGACCAUUCGAAUAGAAGGAUUGGAAAUGGUUGUAAUAUGGAGAAUCGCGGUAUUUUAUUUUCAAAUCUGGAGUUUGACUUUGACUUAAAUGUGUAGACACUGGACAUGCGUAAUUUAUUUCAGAUAUGAUAAAGAUUGUUACGUAUGUGAUUCAUGUUCAAUGUAAAACCUACAAGUCAUUCUUUUCAUUGUUGAUUGGACUUAAAUGUAAACCAUCUAAUCAUCGUCGUGUACACAGAAUAGUACAUUCAACGUUAUGAUUAUUUUUUUUUUUUUCUAUUUUUCUUUGUACAUUAUUUGUUUUCAUCAUUUAUGUACUAAAUAUUAGUACUUAUAGAACAUAUUUAAUUGCAUUUUCAUUUUUUCAAAUCUUAAUUUUCGAAUAUUUUUAAUAUCGUUGCCAUAUUUUACGAUUUGUUUAAUUUUUCAAUUUGUUGGUUAUUUUGGAAACAUAAAGAUAAAAAAUGCAAUUCGUUGUUACAUAAUCUCUUAUCUUAUCACCGUUGCAUAUCGAUAUGAACAGUUAAAGAACAAAUAGUAUUUAUAAGGAUAUAUCACUCAACGAUAAUUAUAAUAAUAAGCAACAGUGAUACGAUACGAGGAUAUGCAACAAAUAGAUAGGCAUUUAAAGACUAGUAACAUUAUGUAAGUUAUUACUACUGUAAUAAUCCAUCUACUUAUUUAGUAAUAUUGUCCUCGGUGGCACCUAAACAACAGGUGAAAACAAAGUUUCGAAAAGAUGAAUCAUGGCAUUUCGGGCAGGUGUCCACUCUGCCGGCCUUAUCUGUGCUUGGUAACUUACUCAUCGGAUGUUUCUCGCUUUACGAUUUCAUUCACUAGACCGCAAAAGAGAAUUUCCUGCCAAUUCAUCUUUAUCUCAACGUCAUGGUUAAUAAGAGAGAAUAUAUAUAUGUUUUUAAAUCUGGCUCAAUGCCGUUUAGGAUAGAGUCUGCUCGUUAACUUUACGAGCAUGAUGAUGAAUUCUCGAGGAGUACGUUUCUGGAACGAAACGUACUCCUCUUUAAUCAUAGAGAUGCCAUCUAACAUGAAAACUCUGAAUCAUUACAAUUUGCUUGAUUUAAUCGAUAAAAAGGAUUGUAUAUCACCAUCUUUUUUCUUAAUAUUACGGGACUGUUAAUUACCUUUCACUCAAAGCGUAUGUAACUUCAGCGACAAAAUAUGAACUACAAGCGCAACCAAGGAACCAUGCAUCUAUAGUAUCUGAUGUAUAAGCUUGUGUUGCUUAUAUUAUAAUAAAUGGUUCAGUGUAGAUGGCUUAGUAGGUUAUGAACUUUUCAGUCCCUCAUAUCUUUUAUUGUGAUAGCAUACGUUUGAAUUGCGUCUGGUUGCAGUGAUCCGUGCUAGAUAUUGGUCCUGUUGCUCCUGAUAAUAUAUGAAAAUAUUAUAAAUUGGUGUUCUUCUGCGAUUAGAUCUUCUUUUUAUUUUUCAUCAAACAGUUCUAUAGCAAUUUCAAUCUUUUCUUCAUUUUUACUUUAAGAACUAUAAAUCUCCUUGUUGACGCACACGUGCGUCUCUCCAUUGUUCCCGAUACUUUCUCUUAAGGAUCAUAUAACAUCAUUGGAAACAGUUAUCCUUGGGAACCUAUCGACUAUUAGCUAAACAAAAUGCAUAGAUAAAAAGCACAUGGCCACCUUUGUCUGGGUUUAGGCAAUCAUUAGUAAAGUAUUUAGGUUUCGAUAAUAUGUCAACCCGGCCAAUAAAUAAACAGUAAAAGUAGAAGCUUAAGCUACUUCGGAUGAGGUUGUAAGGUGUUGUCUGGCGCCUAGCCUUGAAAUAUCCAUUGACAUCCUAUAAUCUUCAAGAGUAUUAGAACAAAGGGACACACAUGGAACAUCCCAAUGAAUUAUUCCCGGCCCAAUGGGCAUUUAUUCCUUCCCUUUUCAUAUGUCAAAUUUGGUCCUUUACCAAUCUCAUUUAAGUUCACGUGGAUAGUUCAAAAUGGACAGUCAAGUUAUAGCUUUUGGACUCACAACAUCUGAGGAGUCAAGGCACAUCUAAGCUCUCAAGCCUCUUUCAGUACAACUAACUGCACAUCAUAGACGAGAGACAGAAACAAUUGUAACUCAUCUGUUCAAAUACACGGUGAGAUUUACAUAGCGCGCAUCAUUUAAUAUCGCGCAUUUACUUCUCCAUUUUUUUUUAAACUUAUAUAAGGAAAAAUAUAAAAAGUGCUUUAAAAGGGAAAAUACGAUUAUAACUCUUACAAUCGGCGCGAAAUCAUUAUAAUCUAAAUAUAAAAAAAUCUAUAGUUGGGCGUAGGAAAAAAAUUUUAUUUAGUAAGUUUCAUCGGAUCUCGAGGUUCCAUCUUUCGAAUGAUAUUUUAAACAUAUUUUUGCAUUUACAUUCGAGCCAAUCCAACAGAAAAAUAUUUAUUUUACAUAUCGAAUCAUAGACUAUCUGAAGUAAUAAAUAUUUAUAUAUCAUAUAUAUAUAUAUAUAUAUCAUACAAUAUAGUAUAUAUUGCAAGAAUUAAUUUAUUGGAAAUUCCCCACUAUCGAUUAUUUAAAAAGUAUUUCAACGAAAACAAUCAUUACAUCUGAUAACUUUUAAUUAUCGCUUUAAGAUCUUUCUUGGCUAUUUUCCCGGUAGGUGUGUGCGGCAUUUUUUCUAAAAAUUUCACACCUCCUCGUAAAUAAUAGGAAUCCGUCAUAUUAUUUGCCACGAAUUUUUGAAACUCUUGUUCGGAUACCUGAACGUUGAACAAAAUGUAACAAAUAACUCUCGUGAGGUUUACGAUCUGAAAGUUUUUCUAUCAUACGUCGUACCUUCGAACCAGGAACUUUGGUAAUAAAAGCGAUAGGAUGCUCAUUGUCCUGAAGAUGAGGAAUACCAACAACAGCAACCUCAACAACAUCGGGAUGAGAUUGCAAAAGGUUCUCAAUUUUGGAUGGUAAGAUUUGAUAACCUCUGUACAUUAAUGUCUCCUUCAGUCUGUCGAUAAUGAAAAGUUCGCCGUUCUCGUCGUAAUACGCGAUAUCACCGGUAUGCAACCAUCCUGCCGUUACGUCGAUUAAUUAUAAUAAACGAUUAAACUUAAUAGAUAAUGCUUUUUUUUUAUCUCUUUUUGUUUUACCAUCAACAUCGAUCGUAUCUUUGGUCGCUUGUGGAUUAUUGUAAUAACCUUUGGUCAUUAUUGGUGAUUUUACCAACAUUUCACCUGUCUUAUUCGGACCCAAUGCAUUUCCGUUAGCUAAGUCGAUUAUUUUGAUUUGACCGUUAGCUGUUAUUGUUCCUAUGCUACCUGCCUUGUGAUGUGGCUUUUGUGCCGUUAUAAUGCCACAAAGUUCGGUCAUUCCUAAGAAAAUUUAAACAAUUCUAUUGACAGAUUUCGUUUAUGAAUUAUAAAAGACGGAUCAAAAGAUCCCACGUAUUUUCUUUCUCUUACCGAACAUUUGUAUGAUAUUUGCAUUUGGCAAACAUUCUUGAAACUUAAUUUGAUUUUUUUCUGCAAGUUUACUUCCAGCAAGAAUCACUUUUUUAACGCUCGAUAUGUCGUACUUCUCAAUAUAUCUUGAGCUUAAUAUUCUGUUCAUCAUACUAGGUGUCGUAAACAUCCAAGUAAUCUGUUGACGAUUCGUUAUUUAAUAUUAUUCUUAUAUUAAUGUUAAAUAAAAAAAUUAUAUUAAUUAUAUUAAAUACAGCAUCUGAAAAUAGGGAACGGAUCAUGCUUCUUUGUUACAGAUAAGAGAAACCCGUAAAUAUCUGUAAAACACAGAUUUCUCUAUAUUACAGUUCCGUACAAAUAUGAAUAGCACAUCAUAAGGAACCCAAAAUGGAUAAAGUAAUCUAUUACAAUAAUUCAUGACGCAACUCAACGUUAAUAAAAAUCCACUGAUCCAAGAAUAUCCUGACAUAUAUAAUGGAAUUUCUUCGACGUAAAAACCAUUAGGUAUAAUUAAAGUAUACAAAAGAGAGAAAUAGGAGAUUGUAAUUCCUUUAGGAAGACCAGUUGUGCCGGAUGAAUAAAGGAUUGCCGCUGUAUCGUGGAUAUUAUCGAUUCGCGCACAUUCAAAAUUCUCCACUUCGGACUUGCUAUAUUUUUCGAGUACUUUCGAGAAAGACAAGACAUUCUUAGAGGCUUUACCAAAGACGACGACCUUGAUAUUGUUAUUAUCGAGUUUUGCCGCUUCUAAUAUCGCCCUUAUCGAAUUUUCGUCCGCGAAAACAAUUUUUGCACCGGAUAAUUUCAUAAAGUAACGUGCCUCAUCUGAAAAUAAUCAUGUUAAGACGAAAUAUGUUUGAAUUGAAAAUUAAAGAAGGCUCACGUAUAUCCAUCGCGGGCUUCCAGGGAGUAAAGAUUGCUCCCACGCAGAAGGUAGCGAAGAAUGGUGCAAAACUAUCCAUAAUAUUGGGAGCGCAUAGGGCAACUACGUCAUUAGCCUUGAUUCUUUGUUGACGUAACCAAUGCGCACAUUUUACAGUCAGAUCAAACAUUUCGGCAAAAGUAUAUGUCUCUUCGGUGAUAACGUCUAUCUGUUAUUAUGAAUGACUUAUUGAUUUCAUUAAUAAACGAUGUAGAAAAAAUUAUUGUUAAUAAGACCUUUUCGAUAUUUGCUUAUCGAUAUGGCGAUAAAAAAAAAAAAAAGAAAAAAAAAAAGGAAUGAUUAAGAAGUAUAUUCUACGUCUUUGUAAACGACACGUGCAAAAAUGUGAAUCGUUGCGUUUCACUUCAGUAACAUUUUUCAAGAACGAUAUUGAAUACACACAAUUUUGUCACGAAUGUUCUCAUUCAUUAUAAAUUAUUUAUUGUCCUUCGUAAUAUUUUGUAGAACUAAUUGCACAUUACUGAAAUAGUGUGCGUGCAUGUAUAUCUGUACGUGUGUCUGUGUCUAUGCGAUUGUCUAUGCGAUUAUGACACUUUAUUUGAUUUUAGCUCUUAUGGAUUCUUACAUACCUGACCAACAAAGUCGGGUCUGGCCUUCAUUUUAUCCAAGAGUAAUUUUCCGACGUUCGUAUAUUCCGUGGAUAAAGGUUCAUCUUUGCCUUUCAAUAUAUUAUCCUUUAUAACAAAAUCGAUAUCACUCUGAAAUAAUUGAUUCAAUAAUUGAAAUAAUAAUGAUUCUUAGCUUACUAAACGGUGUUCUUUUCUUUUAACUAGACAUAUUUAAUGAUCAAAGAUUUUUCUUUAAAUUAGGAUAGCAUAGAAAAUGAAACGUAAUAGAAACAUUUUUCAUGAACGCUUACGUUUAUCAUUACGUUUAUCAAUUUAUUGAUCUCCAUGAUUAUAGAUUGUACGCUUUCCACCAGAUAUAUCUUCACUCAGCUAUGUUAUAAUAUUUUUAAACGAUCUAAAAGAUGAAAGGAACGAUGGACUUUUGAGAUUAGAUUGUAAUGACUUGACGAGAUAUGAGAUUUGACUGUUCACAAAAUCGGGCGUUUCUUUUUCUUUUUUUUUUUUUUUUUUUUAUUAAGAAUACGUCACGGUAACUGAAUUUAUAUUUUUGUCACUAAUCACUGCUAUCUACCAUUCGUAAAGAUCUAUAUAUACCUUUAAUUGUUAUUUUUUUAAAAACGAUAUAUCUUCCCACGACAAAGCUAUUUUUUUUCCGACACCUGUAAAUACAAAAAUGAAAAUUACGUGACAUGAAUCAUUAGUUAAUCUAAUUAUACUACUAAUGAAAGAAUGAGUUAUAUCUUUAAAGAAAUAUUUUGUUACGUCUAAAUGUCAGCGAGCCAAAUUUAUGAUAAAAAAAAAUCUAAAUUACAUAAAUAAUUUAAGAUGUAACAAACAUAUGUCGUGAAAAUUUUAUUUCAUAACAUGAAACUAUUCUAAUCUGUAAAUUUGAGAUACUCGUCAAGUUGUAAAUGUUGAAAUGCAAAUAAAUAUUUUUAUAUUUCGUA